CAUUGCGUUGGUCUCUGGGGUGUCGCAAGUACUCUUUUUCUUUUUGCGAAUACAGACUAACACGGCUGCUACUCUGAAACCCGCUCAUAAUGGCUCCACAG